rnacentral:rRNA from 1 species
UACGUAGGCAGCAAGCGUUGUUCGGAAUUACUGGGCGUAAAGAGUGUGUAGGCGGUGCUCUAAGUUUGUUGUGAAAUCUCCCGGCUUAACUGGGAGGGUGCGGCGAAAACUGGAGUGCUCGAGGGUGGGAGAGGAAAGCGGAAUUCCUGGUGUAGCGGUGAAAUGCGUAGAUAUCAGGAGGAACACCUGCGGUGUAGACAGCUUUCUGGACCAUUUCUGACGCUGAGACACGAAAGCGUGGGUAG